rfam:Paenibacillus dendritiformis C454 PDENDC1000186, whole genome shotgun sequence.
AACUACAUAGGGCACACUAAUCGAAAGAUUAGGCCGCAAAGCUUAGGAAUCUAAAGGUCGUCAGGCCCAUGAUCGUCCGGCUGCAUUU